rnacentral:rRNA from 1 species
GACGAACCGAGCGACCGUUGUUCGGAAUCACUGGGCGUAAAGGGUGCGUAGGCGGGUCUUUAAGUCAGGGGUGAAAUCCUGGAGCUCAACUCCAGAACUGCCUUUGAUACUGAAGAUCUUGAGUUCGGGAGAGGUGAGUGGAACUGCGAGUGUAGAGGUGAAAUUCGUAGAUAUUCGCAAGAACACCAGUGGCGAAGGCGGCUCACUGGCCCGAUACUGACGCUGAGGCACGAAAGCGUGGGGAGCAAACAGG